rnacentral:rRNA from 1 species
UACGUAGGGGGCGAGCGUUGCUCGGAAUCACUGGGCGUAAAGCGCACGUAGGCGGCUUGUUAAGUCAGGGGUGAAAUCCUGGAGCUCAACUCCAGAACUGCCUUUGAUACUGAUGAGCUUGAGUUCGGAAGAGGUGAGUGGAACUGCGAGUGUAGAGGUGAAAUUCGUAGAUAUUCGCAAGAACACCAGUGGCGAAGGCGGGUCUCUGGACAGUUCCUGACGCUGAGGCACGAAGGCCAGGGGAGCAAACGGG